CACACACACACACACACGCACGCACGCAACCGCUCAAGCACCUCAACUCGCCACGUGCAUCAUCCUUGUCAUCACUAAACAUGACGGUCGUUCGCGCUGCCCUCCUGGGCUUUGGUACCGUAGGGCAAGGUAUUUACAGUAUCGCGCAGCAGCGCCGUGAGCAGCUCAAGCAGAGGCUUGGCGGCGUGGAGCUCGUCAUCGUAAAGAUUCUCGUGCGCGACCUGCGCAAAAGAAAUCGCGUCUUGCCGGACCGCUGCGCGAGCGAUGCGAAGUUGCUCACGGACGACAUCGAAGACGUCUUCCGCGCUGACGUGCAGGUCAUCUUCGAGGCGACGGUGGGUGAAGAGCCGGCUUUCACGUACCUCCAGCGUGCCAUUGUGGAGCAUGGGUGCUCGGUGAUAACAGCCAACAAGGUGAUGUUCGCCCGGUAUGGCGCUGCCCUGCAGGAGCUGGCCGCCUCCUGCACCCCGACAUCGUCGUUUCCGGCGACGCGGGUGUAUGUCGGCUUUGAGGCGACGGUUGCUGCCGGCGUCCCGAUCAUCAAGACGCUGCAGAACAUGUGCCACGUCCAGCAAGUGCGCAAGAUCGAGGGCAUCGUCAACGGCACGAGCAACUACAUCCUCACAGAGCUGCGCGAGCACCCGGAGAAGACGUUUGAAGAGGUGCUGAAGAAGGCGCAGGAGCUGGGCUACGCAGAGGCGGACCCCACCAACGAUGUCGCCGGCCAAGAUGCCUUCGUGAAGCUGCUCGUGAUGGUCGCCAUCGCGUUCGGUCAUCAGCCGAGCCGCUCGACCAUCCCAGUGACGGGCAUCGACACUCUCACGCCGGAAAUGCUGCAGGACGCGAGGGCGAAGGGGCUGCGCUACCGCCACGUGGUGAGCGCUGCGAUGGAGGGGACGGCGACGUCGUCUUGUGCACCCAAGUCGUCAGCGGCGGAGGAAGAAGAGGCGCAGUCACGUACACGGCCGCUGCACGAGCGUCUGACGUGCUCCGUCAAACCGAUGCUGCUGGGCCCGGAGCAUCCGCUGUACCAUAUGGACGGUACGACGAGCGCCGUGUCUGUGUGGACGGACUACCUCGGCGUCGUGACCAUCUCCGGCCCUGGGGCCGGCAUGUACUGUACCGCCAGUGCCAUGAUGGAGGACUACGCGGUGUGGAUGGAGGCGUUCCGUCGCCCGUAGAGCAGGAUGGGUGCACCCGUGAGUGAUGGAGGGAGAGGGAGACCUGUGCAGAGGCAGAAGCGGAUGGGCAAUGUCCGCGGGUACAGCACGCGCAUAACUCGCAUGAGGGUUUCACCGCUCAUUGUCCCCCUUCCCUCGAACACGCACACACACUCACAGACGCGUACACGCUUGCCUCCGCCCGCGUGAGCGGAUGCGCUGAGCGAGGGGAAGAAGGAAGCGCGCAAAGGACGAAGAGAGAGAGAGCAGUGCAGCCUUCAUUGCGACGCUCAACGACAGCGUCGCAUCAUCUGCAGGCGGAAAGACAUGGAGUGCAACAGCAGGGGAAGAUGUGCGACAUGCUCACACGUAUUCUCUGAGGCCGUCUCGCGUCUUAUCGUCAUCAGCGCAGCCUGCUACCCCCUUCCUUUUUUUUUCGUUUCCUCGGCCCUUACCUUACGUACGCUAUUCUUAUGGUUUGGCUUCUCGUGCGUGUGUGUGUGUGCCAUGCGCCGGUGGGUGCGCUUCUCUCGCUACCUCUCUCCGCGCCGCGUUUUCUCUCGCGACAGCGCAUCGCUGUCUGCCUAUUGCCUGCUGCUCGUUUUUCAUGCGUGCGGCUGUAUUGGCCAUCGCUCUUGCCUCUCCUCCGCCACGCCCCUGCCGUUCAUUUCCACGUGCGUGCGUUAGUUUCUUCUCAGGGUCGUUCUUGCCGUCCUUCGCUGAUCUCGCUCUCUUCGCCGCUCCCUCUGUGGCCAUGCUCACCAACAACAAGCACUGACUACCCCCUCCCUCCCUGCGUCUGCGUGGCCACUCCAACGCCGGCGUUGGUUGUAUCCACGCCGACGGAAAGAGCACGACGCACACACAAGCGAAGCAGGAGGUCUGCAGUGCAACAACUG
rnacentral:misc_RNA from 1 species